AUACGGAGGGUGCGAGCGUUAAGCGGAAUUACUGGGCGUAAAGGGUGCGUAGGCGGCUUGAUAAGUCGGAUGUGAAAGCCCCGGGCUUAACCUGGGAAUUGCAUUCGAUACUGUCAGGCUAGAGUAUGUCAGAGGUUGGCGGAAUUCCUGGUGUAGGGGUGAAAUGCGUAGAUAUCAGGAGGAACACCAGUGGCGAAGGCGGCUAACUGGGACAAUACUGACGCUGAGGCACGAAAGCGUGGGGAGCAAACAGGAUUAGAUACCCGAGUAGUCC
rnacentral:rRNA from 1 species